UACGUAGGAGGCAAGCGUUGUCCGGAAUUACUGGGCGUAAAGCGCACGUAGGCGGCUUGGUAAGUUAGAGGUGAAAGCCUGGAGCUCAACUCCAGAAUUGCCUUUAAGACUGCCGAGCUAGCAGGUGAGAGAGGUGAGUGGAAUUCCGAGUGUAGAGGUGAAAUUCGUAGAUAUUCGGAAGAACACCAGUGGCGAAGGCGGCUCACUGGCUCAUACUGGACGCUGAGGUGCGAAAGCGUGGGGAGCAAACAGG
rnacentral:rRNA from 1 species